rnacentral:rRNA from 1 species
GACGAACGCUGGCGGCGUGCUUAACACAUGCAAGUCGAACGGAAAGGCCCUGCUUUUGUGGGGUGCUCGAGUGGCGAACGGGUGAGUAACACGUGAGUAACCUGCCCUUGACUUUGGGAUAACUUCAGGAAACUGGGGCUAAUACCGGAUAGGAGCUCCUGCUGCAUGGUGGGGGUUGGAAAGUUUCGGCGGUUGGGGAUGGACUCGCGGCUUAUCAGCUUGUUGGUGGGGUAGUGGCUUACCAAGGCUUUGACGGGUAGCCGGCCUGAGAGGGUGACCGGCCACAUUAGGACUGCGAUACGGACCAGACUCCUACGGGAGGCAGCAGUGGGGAAUAUUGCACAGUGGGCGGAAGCCUGAUGCAGCAACGCCGCGUGCGGGAUGACGGCCUUCGAGUUGUAAACCGCUUUCGCCUGUGACGAAGCGUGAGUGACGGUAAUGGGUAAAGAAGCACCGGCUAACUACGUG